AGAUUGAACGCUGGCGGCAGGCCUAACACAUGCAAGUCGAGCGGUAGAGAGGUGCUUGCAUCUCUUGAGAGCGGCGGACGGGUGAGUAAUGCCUAGGAAUCUGCCUAGUGGUGGGGGAUAACGUUCGGAAACGGACGCUAAUACCGCAUACGUCCUACGGGAGAAAGCGGGGGACCUUCGGGCCUCGCGCCAUUAGAUGAGCCUAGGUCGGAUUAGCUAGUUGGUGAGGUAAUGGCUCACCAAGGCGACGAUCCGUAACUGGUCUGAGAGGAUGAUCAGUCACACUGAACUGAGACACGGUCCAGACCUCCUACGGGAGGCAGGCAGGUGGGGAAUAGUUAGGAACUAAGUGGGGACGAAAGGCCCUAGACUCCAGCCAUGCCGCGUGUGGUAGAAGAAGGUUCGUUCGGUAUUAGUAAAGACUAACGUUUAAGGUAGGGAGGUAAGGUUACGUAAACCUUAAUUACGGUUG
rnacentral:rRNA from 1 species